rnacentral:rRNA from 1 species
UACAGAGGGGGCAAGCGUUGUUCGGAAUUACUGGGCGUAAAGGGCGCGUAGGCGGCCUGCUAAGUCGGACGUGAAAUCCCCCGGCUCAACCGGGGAACUGCGUCCGAUACUGGUGGGCUCGAAUCCGGGAGAGGGAUGUGGAAUUCCAGGUGUAGCGGUGAAAUGCGUAGAUAUCUGGAGGAACACCGGUGGCGAAGGCGGCAUCCUGGACCGGCAUUGACGCUGAGGCGCGAAAGCCAGGGGAGCAAACGGG